CCCCCAACGGCGUGGUUAGAGGCCAGUUAUCCAGAAGCAUCUCCGACCACCACCAUCUCCCCCACGAAGCUUGCUAGCAUCCACCAUCAACCACUUCAAGAGCCACCUCCAAGUCUCCAGAUUAGGC
rnacentral:sRNA from 1 species